GCCUAACAGCAAAAUGCACUGCCCACGCUUCGGCUGAAAGAAAAGAGAGCAACACUGCUCCAAUCCAUCACCUACCUAUUUCAGAGCACGUGAAGGCCCAUUGGGUUAUUGAUACUGAUCUCCGAAAUAAAGCUCGCAAAAGAGCACGUUGUGAAUUAUGGACUUUUGGUCACUAGUUAUGAUUUUUUUAUUUUAUUUUCGGCAAGUUCAUAUAUUUUCCC
rnacentral:lncRNA from 1 species